rnacentral:rRNA from 1 species
GACGAACGCUGGCGGCGUGCCUAAUACAUGCAAGUAGAACGCUGAAGGAGGAGCUUGCUUCUCUGGAUGAGUUGCGAACGGGUGAGUAACGCGUAGGUAACCUGCCUGGUAGCGGGGGAUAACUAUUGGAAACGAUAGCUAAUACCGCAUAAGAGUAGAUGUUGCAUGACAUUUGCUUAAAAGGUGCAAUUGCAUCACUACCAGAUGGACCUGCGUUGUAUUAGCUAGUUGGUGGGGUAACGGCUCACCAAGGCGACGAUACAUAGCCGACCUGAGAGGGUGAGCGGCCACACUGGGACGGAGACACGGCCCAGACUCCUACAGGAGGCAGCAGUAGGGAAUCUUCGGCAAUGGACGGAAGGCUGACCGAGAAACGCCGCGGGAGUGAAGAAGGGUUUCGGAUCGUAAAGCUCUGUUGUAAGAGGAGAACGAGUGUGAGAGUGGAAAGUUCACACUGUGACGGUAGCUUAACAGAAAGGGACGGCUAACUACGUG